rnacentral:misc_RNA from 1 species
CUUCAGGUGACAGUGUAUUCAAGCUCCCAAUCUUCAUCUUCAUAAUCUUCCUUCACAAUUCUUUUCCCUUCAUUAAGAAGAGCUAAACUCUCAACAAACGUAUCCAGAAAGAACGAAUCCUGAGCUCCACGAAUUCCAAGUCCUUUCACAAUUUGAUUCUCUGGUUUAUAUGAAACCAAUUCUCCGUUUCUAGAAGUCAUAAGCAUCUCACCAUUUUCCCUGCAACCCAGAG